AUGUCUAAAAAAAAGUCAACGCCCAAUCUAGAUCCCCAAUCCCGUCUCCGCUCCCACCUCCUCUCCUCCUCUCCCAAGUCCCAACCCGCCAUGGAGGGGGAGCCGCCCGCGCAAGGCCCGCCCCCCAGCGCUGCCGCCGCCUACGGCUCUGGCGGCGGCGGGGAGAAGGGUGCCCCGUGCCAGGAGUGCGGGGAGCAGCCGUGGAAGUACCAGUGCCCGGGCUGCUCCCGCCUCACCUGCAGCCUCCCCUGCGUGCAGGCCCACAAGCGCCGCACCGCCUGCUUCGGCAAGCGCCCCCGCACCGUCCCCGUCCCGCUCGCCCAGUUGGACAGCAACCAGCUCCUCUCCGGUGACAAAUUCGUCCCUCGACCUCCGGUCCAGUCCCUCGCUCGCCGUGGCCUCCAUCCAUGCUGA
rnacentral:rRNA from 1 species